UAAGAAGCAAGUAGUAUCUUGUGGUUGGU
rnacentral:piRNA from 1 species